AUGUAGAGCAAUCUUUCUUUAAAGGAUGAAGAGUUUACUUUAAAAGAAAGGAAUCCUACACAGGUUUCUCUUUAGGUCAAUUGUCUUGU
rnacentral:pre_miRNA from 1 species